CCUACGGGUGGCUGCAGUGGGGAAUUGUUCGCAAUGGGCGCAAGCCUGACGACGCAACGCCGCGUGGAGGAUGAAGGUCUUCGGAUUGUAAACUCCUGUUGCCCGGGACGCGGUACCGGGUGAGGAAGCCCCGGCUAACUCUGUGCCAGCAGCCGCGGUAAUACAGAGGGGGCAAGCGUUGUUCGGAAUUACUGGGCGUAAAGGGCGCGUAGGCGGCCCUCUAAGUCGAACGUGAAAUCCCUGGGCUCAACCCAGGAACUGCGUCCGAGACUGGGGGGCUAGAAUCCGGGAGAGGGAUGUGGAAUUCCAGGUGUAGCGGUGAAAUGCGUAGAUAUCUGGAGGAACAUCGGUGGCGAAGGCGGCAUCCUGGACCGGAUUGACGCUGAGGCGCGAAAGCCAGGGGAGCAAACGGGAUUAGAUACCCUUGUAGUC
rnacentral:rRNA from 1 species